rnacentral:tRNA from 1 species
UAGGGAGACCGACUUCCAGGAACCAGAACUGUGUCAACACAGAGGUAAAUGAGAAGACAUCCCAAGGUCGUACGAGAUUGAGUGUAAAAAAGCUUUCAAACUAGAUUGGGUUCGGUGAAAUGGGCUAUUAGCUCAGGUGGUUAGAGCGCACCCCUGAUAAGGGUGAGGUCCCUGGUUCGAGUCCAGGAUGGCCCACCUAACUUUUCAGCUACAGCACCUUAAUUUGCAGAUGUUUGAAAAAAACAAGCAAAAGAGAAUGCUGGAGUUGAACUCCAGAUGAGAACCUUGAAAACUGCAUAGUGAAGAGAAAGAACUGUUCAGGUAGAACUACUGGUUUCAGUGGUUUAUCCAAAAAGAAUUAGCGCGAUUUGU